rnacentral:misc_RNA from 1 species
GCAGAAACUGUGAUAAGCAGCCAUUAGCCAUUUACCAUUUGGCAUGUAUUGACUGUUUACGGUACAAGAGAUUCGUUUGGGUGGACAUGAGAGAGCGAAAGUGCUGAUAGGCGUCGUGAUGGGGAGAAUUUUUCUGGUGGAGUUAGAAGGCAGGUGUUACCGGUGCAGAUUCUGCGACACCCCUAUUGGUCUCGCCGAUGAUGUUCUUUCUCGGACUUUCAAUUGUCGUAAGGGGAGGGCAUAUCUGUUCAGCAAUGUGGUGAACAUAUCAUUUGGGGCUGUGGAAGAGAGGUUUAUGCUUUCUGGUAUGCAUACUGUGGGAGAUAUAUUCUGUUGUUGCUGUGGACAAC